GACAGAGGGGGCAAGCGUUGCUCGGAAUCACUGGGCGUAAAGGGCGCGUAGGCGGGAUGGCAAGUCGGUCGUGAAAUCCUUCGGCUCAACCGAAGAACGUCGGCCGAUACUGCCGUUCUUGAGGGAUGCAGAGGAGAUUGGAAUUCCAGGUGUAGCGGUGAAAUGCGUAGAUAUCUGGAGGAACACCGGUGGCGAAGGCGGCAUCCUGGACCGAGAUUGACGCUGAGGCGCGAAAGCCAGGGGAGCAAACGGG
rnacentral:rRNA from 1 species